CUCACAGAGUCCCAACGCCGCACCAUAAUCCCGCGAUGCGCGAAAUAGCGCAUGCGCAGUUUGUUCCCUGAGGCUGAUGCCAGCACAGGGAAGGAACACUAUGCCGACACUGCGCAUGCGCUAGCUCACGCAUC